GGGGGUGUGGCUCUGUGGGUGAGCCCCUGUUUGGCAUGCAAAAGGCCCCGGGUUCAAUCACAGGCAUCUCCA
rnacentral:tRNA from 1 species